UGUCCACUGCCACCGACAGC
rnacentral:snRNA from 1 species